AAAUAUAAUUUGCGUAUUGCGAAUCAAAUUGAGGUUCCAACUAAGUCUACUGCUUAUGUACCUUAUAUUUCAUUAACUAGUGUAUCGCAUAUGUAUACAUGCAGCAAGACUCAAGAGUACCACGUUCAUUAGGUAACUAUGGGCCAAUCAUGGGAUUUUGCUAAUGCAGUAUGAAUUAUGAAAAUGAAGAGAAGAAAAUUUUGAAGCAGCAAAAGCCUGGAUUGUUAAUACAUCAAAGAAUGGUGUGAAAUUUUUAAUUCAAACAAGCUCAGAACAAGCAUGGAGAAUUAAAAAAAAAAAAAUGAAAAAAGGAUUACAAAGGAGCAAACUAACUGCAACUAAGCGAUAAGUUGUAGACUUGUAGUCAAUGAGGAUAAUAGCAAAGUAAGCAACUCUAGCUUCAUUAUAGCAAAAAAAACUCUCUAGCCAAAAUAAAUUAACCAAAUGAUACUUUUUUGAAAAGUUGAAUUAAGCAGGUUUCAAUCCUUCCAAGUUCCAACUUAUGCAUUUUACAACGUCCCAGGAUUUUCAUAAAUUUUCAAUAUUCUAAAACUUAAGGAUCAAGACUAGGUUUUCUCUAACAGGAAAAGAACAGUGCAACAAACAAAAAAGAAAAUCCAAUAACUCUUUUUUAUCAAGAUUCAAGCAUGUUUGAACUUUUGGAAUAUAAGAAUUUCAUUUUAGCAUGGCAAAAAUUUUUGGUAAAUUUGAUAGAAAUUCAUGAGGUAUUAUAAUUCUGUCCUUAGCAAUUUUCUAUUUAGGAUUUUUGUUGGUUUGCUAUUUUCUUAUCAAUGAAAAUUGGAGUAUUGUUCAAGUUUUUUUCCGAAUUUUCUCACAUUGGAUAGGAGUUUUUUAUGUUUACAUAUUAUCAUUACAAUAUUUUCUAUUUUGUGGUUAUCUUUUGUGCCUACAUAAGAUCAUCCAUUUUAUGUUGUUACAUCCUAUUUAAGAAUUAAGAAUGCAGAAAUGUUCCUUCUAAUUUCCUCUAAAUAUUUCGUAAUAAAAAUACAGCAUAGAUAAGAAAGAAGAAUGUGAUGAGUCAUCCUAACUUAACACACAAACAAAAUAAAUAAAUAAUCUACACAUUAUAAACCUUCCAAAGACUUCUAUGUCUAACAAGGCACCCCAUUUAAAAAACCAUCUGUUGAACAUAAUGAUGCUAGGUAAACAAUUUAGUCUAAAAAGUUUUACUCCCAAUUUCCUACAAAAUUCAUGGCACUUCUCUUUAACCAAAUACGCCAAAAAACCACAAAUUAAAACACCAAAACUACUUGACCUCUAUUUACAAUCCACAACUCCUGAAUUCAGUGGGUAGCAGAUUCUAAAAGAUUUUAUGGGCACACCCAUUUCACGUCAAAAUACCAAAAAUUCCAUUCUAAAUGUACCAAGAGGCUCAAUAGUUCAAGAAAAGACGAUUAGUAGACUCACUACCACAAUAACAUAUAAGUGAAACAAAUUUCUCCUUUAUUCGCUUCUUUUUCCUUCUCUUUUUUUUUCUUUGACCAUUUGUGCAUUGUUUGUUUGUGUUUCCUUUGCUUUACCUGUGAUUACGUGCUUUUAUUUACCAAUGGAAUUGAUGCGAUGAGUGGUGUUUUUAUUGGAUCUCAAUUAGAAGUCAUAAGCCAAUGUGGUAAUGUACCAAGUUAUGGUA
rnacentral:misc_RNA from 1 species